rnacentral:rRNA from 1 species
UGGGGAAUCUUGGACAAUGGGCGGAAGCCUGAUCCAGCGACGCCGCGUGGGUGAUGAAGGCCUUCGGGUUGUAAAGCCCUUUCGCCGGGGACGAUGAUGACGGUACCCGGAGAAGAAGCACCGGCUAACUCCGUGCCAGCAGCCGCGGUAAUACGGAGGGGGUUAGCGUUGUUCGGAAUUACUGGGCGUAAAGCGCACGUAGGCGGACCAGCCAGUCAGAGGUGAAAUCCCGGGGCUCAACCUCGGAACUGCCUUUGAUACUGCUGGUCUCGAGUCCGAGAGAGGUGAGUGGAAUUCCGAGUGUAGAGGUGAAAUUCGUAGAUAUUCGGAGGAACACCAGUGGCGAAGGCGGCUCACUGGCUCGGUACUGACGCUGAGGUGCGAAAGCGUGGGGAGCAAACAGGAUUAGAUACCCCCGUAGUCC